rnacentral:rRNA from 1 species
UACAGAGGUCUCAAGCGUUGUUCGGAUUCAUUGGGCGUAAAGGGUGCGUAGGCGGGUCUUUAAGUCAGGGGUGAAAUCCUGGAGCUCAACUCCAGAACUGCCUUUGAUACUGAAGAUCUUGAGUUCGGGAGAGGUGAGUGGAACUGCGAGUGUAGAGGUGAAAUUCGUAGAUAUUCGCAAGAACACCAGUGGCGAAGGCGGCUCACUGGCCCGAUACUGACGCUGAGGCACGAAAGCGUGGGGAUCAAACAGG